CGAAGAUACCAGCUGGCUGCAACUGUUUAAUAAAAACACAGCACUGUGCAAACACGAAAGUGGACGUAUACGGUGUGACGCCUGCCCGGUGCUGGAAGGUUAAUUGAUGGGGUCAGCCGCAAGGCGAAGCUCUUGAUCGAAGCCCCAGUAAACGGCGGCCGUAACUAUAACGGUCCUAAGGUAGCGAAAUUCCUUGUCGGGUAAGUUCCGACCUGCACGAAUGGCGUAAUGAUGGCCAGGCUGUCUCCACCCGAGACUCAGUGAAAUUGAACUCGCUGUGAAGAUGCAGUGUACCCGCGGCAAGACGGAAAGACCCCGUGAACCUUUACUAUAGCUUGACACUGAACAUUGAGCCUUGAUGUGUAGGAUAGGUGGGAGGCUUUGAAGCGUGGACGCCAGUCUGCGUGGAGCCAUCCUUGAAAUACCACCCUU
rnacentral:rRNA from 1 species